UUAUUGGGCGUAAAGAGCUUGUAGGCGGUUUGCCGCGUCUGCCGUGAAAGCCCGGGGCUUACUCCGGGUGUGCAGUGGGUACGGGCAGGCUAGAGUGCAGUAGGGGAGACUGGAAUUCCUGGUGUAGCGGUGAAAUGCGCAGAUAUCAGGAGGAACACCGAUGGCGAAGGCAGGUCUCUGGGCUGUUACUGACGCUGAGAAGCGAAAGCAUGGGUAGCGAACAGGAUUAGAUACCCUGGUAGUCCAUGCCGUAAACGUUGGGCACUAGGUGUGGGGGACAUUCCACGUUUUCCGCGCCGUAGCUAACGCAUUAAGUGCCCCGCCUGGGGAGUACGGCCGCAAGGCUAAAACUCAAAGGAAUUGACGGGGGCCCGCACAAGCGGCGGAGCAUGCGGAUUAAUUCGAUGCAACGCGAAGAACCUUACCAAGGCUUGACAUACACCGGACCGCUGCAGAGAUGCAGUUUCCCUUCGGGGCUGGCGUACAGGUGGUGCAUGGUUGUCGUCAGCUCGUGUCGUGAGAUGUUGGGUUAAGUCCCGCAACGAGCGCAACCCUUAUCCUAUGUUGCCAGCACGUGAUGGUGGGGACUCAUGGGAGACUGCCGGGGUCAACUCGGAGGAAGGUGGGGAUGACGUCAAAUCAUCAUGCCCCUUAUGUCUUGGGCUUCACGCAUGCUACAAUGGCCGGUACAGUGGGUUGCGAUGCCGUGAGGUGGAGCUAAUCCCUAAAAGCCGGUCUCAGUUCGGAUCGAAGUCUGCAACUCGACUUCGUGAAGUUGGAGUCG
rnacentral:rRNA from 1 species